AACGCUAGCUACAGGCUUAACACAUGCAAGUCGAGGGGCAGCAUGAAGGCAGCAAUGUCUUUGAUGGCGACCGGCGCACGGGUGAGUAACGCGUAUCCGACCUGCCGCAGACACGGGGACAGCCUUGCGAAAGCAGGGAUAACCCCCGAUGAUCUCGUUCCAACGCAUUAGGGAAUGAGCAAAGGAUUAAUCGGUCUGCGAUGGGGAUGCGUUCCAUUAGAUAGUCGGCGGGGUAACGGCCCACCGAGUCGACGAUGGAUAGGGGUUCUGAGAGGAAGGUCCCCCACAUUGGAACUGAGACACGGUCCAAACUCCUACGGGAGGCAGCAGUGAGGAAUAUUGGUCAAUGGGCGAGAGCCUGAACCAGCCAAGUAGCGUGAAGGAUGACUGCCCUAUGGGUUGUAAACUUCUUUUAUAAAGGAAUAAAGUCGGGUAUGUAUACCCGUUUGCAUGUACUUUAUGAAUAAGGAUCGGCUAACUCCGUGCCAGCAGCCGCGGUAAUACGGAGGAUCCGAGCGUUAUCCGGAUUUAUUGGGUUUAAAGGGAGCGUAGAUGGAUGUUUAAGUCAGUUGUGAAAGUUUGCGGCUCAACCGUAAAAUUACAGUUGAUACUGGAUAUCUUGAGUGCAGUUGAGGCAGGCGGAAUUCGUGGUGUAGCGGUGAAAUGCUUAGAUAUCACGAAGAACUCCGAUUG
rnacentral:rRNA from 1 species